GGUUGAUCCUGCCAGUAGUCAUAUGCUUGUCUCAAAGAUUAAGCCAUGCAUGUCUAAGUACAAACCUUUACACGGUGAAACCGCGAAUGGCUCAUUAAAUCAGCUAUGGUUCCUUAGAUCGUCUCUUCCUACUCGGAUAACUGUGGAAAAUCUAGAGCUAAUACGUGCUUACAAGCCCUGACCUCGCGGGAGGGGCGCAUUUAUUAGAUCAAAACCAAUCGAGGCUUGCCUCGUCUGCUUGGUGACUCUGGAUAACUUUUGUGCUGAUCGCAUGGCCUCUGCGCCGGCGACGUAUCUUUCAAGUGUCUGCCCUAUCAACUUACGAUGGUAGGUGAUAUGCCUACCAUGGUUAUAACGGGUAACGGGGAAUCAGGGUUCGAUUCCGGAGAGGGAGCCUGAGAAACGGCUACCACAUCUAAGGAAGGCAGCAGGCGCGCGAAUUACCCACUCCCGGCACGGGGAGGUAGUGACGAAAAAUAACGAUACGGGACUCUUUUGAGGCCCCGUAAUUGGAAUGAGUACACUUUAAAUCCGUUAACGAGAAUCUAUUGGAGGGCAAGUCUGGUGCCAGCAGCCGCGGUAAUUCCAGCUCCAAUAGCGUAUAUUAAUGUUGUUGCAGUUAAAAAGCUCGUAGUUGGAUCUGAGGACUCGAAUCGUCGGUGCAGUCAACGCUGUUACUGUUGAUUCGGCCUACCUAGUCGGUGCUCGCUCUUGGUGUUCUUAAUUGAAUGCCCUGAGUGCCCGACAUGUUUACUUUGAAAAAAUUAGAGUGCUCAAAGCAGGCCAUUAGCCGGAAUACUUCAGCAUGGAAUAAUGGAAUAGGACUUCGGUUCUAUUUUGUUGGUUUUCGGAACCCGAGGUAAUGAUUAAGAGAGACAGACGGGGGCAUUCGUACUGCGGUGUUAGAGGUGAAAUUCUUGGAUCGCCGCAAGACGAACAACUGCGAAAGCAUUUGCCAAGAAUGUUUUCAUUAAUCAAGAACGAAAGUCAGAGGUUCGAAGACGAUCAGAUACCGUCCUAGUUCUGACCAUAAACGAUGCCAACUGGCGAUCCGAGAUCGUUUGCUAUUUGACCUCUCGGGCAGCCUCCGGGAAACCAAAGUCUUUAGGUUCCGGGGGAAGUAUGGUUGCAAAGCUGGAACUUAAAGGAAUUGACGGAAGGGCACCACCAGGAGUGGAGCCUGCGGCUUAAUUUGACCCAACACGGGAAAACUCACCCGGCCCGGACACUGUUAGGAUUGACAGAUUGAGAGCUCUUUCUUGAUUCGGUGGGUGGUGGUGCAUGGCCGUUCUUAGUUGGUGGAGCGAUUUGUCUGGUUAAUUCCGAUAACGAACGAGACUCUAGCCUGCUAAAUAGUACGCCGAUAUCCAUUUUGUCGGUGCCGACUUCUUAGAGGGACAAGCGUCUUGAAGACGCACGAGAUUGAAC
rnacentral:rRNA from 1 species